rnacentral:rRNA from 1 species
CCUACGGGAGGCAGCAGUGGGGAAUAUUGGACAAUGGGGGAAACCCUGAUCCAGCGACGCCGCGUGAGUGAAGAAGUAUUUCGGUACGUAAAGCUCUAUCAGCAGGAAAGAAAAUGACGGUACCUGACUAAGAAGCCCCGGCCAACUACGUGCCAGCAGCCGCGGUAAUACGUAGGGGGCAAGCGUUAUCCGGAUUUGCUGGGUGUAAAGGGAGCGUAGACGGCAGCGCAAGUCUGGAGUGAAAUGCCGGGGCUCAACCCCGGAACUGCUCUGGCAACUGUGAAGCUGGAGUGCAGGAGAGGUGAGCGGAAUUCCUGGUGUAGCGGUGAAAGGCGUAGAUAUCAAGAGGAACACCGGCGGCGAAGGCGGCUUACUGGACUGUAACUGACGUUGAGGCUCGAAGGCGUGGGGAGCAAACAGGAUUAGAUACCCCUGUAGUC